CCCCUCCAGCCCAGCUCGGGCUCCAGCUCCAGCGCCGGCGCUUCAGCUGCGACCGCGAGCCCUCUCAAGCAAGGCCUACCCUCUGAAGAGGUCCAAGCAACGGAAGUACUACUACGAAGCUGCCUUUCUGGCCAUCCUUGAGAAAAACAGACAGAUGGCCAAGGAGAGGGGCCUAAUAAGCCCCAGUGAUUUUGCCCAGCUGCAAAAAUACAUGGAAUACUCCACCAAAAAGGUCAGUGAUGUCCUAAAGCUCUUCGAGGAUGGCGAGAUGGCUAAAUAUGUCCAAGGAGAUGCCAUUGGGUACGAGGGAUUCCAGCAAUUCCUGAAAAUCUAUCUGGAAGUGGAUAAUGUUCCCAGACACCUAAGCCUGGCACUGUUUCAAUCCUUUGAGACUGGUCACUGCUUAAAUGAGACAAAUGUGACAAAAGAUGUGGUGUGUCUCAAUGAUGUUUCCUGCUACUUUUCCCUUCUGGAGGGUGGUCGGCCAGAAGACAAGUUAGAAUGUGAGUUGCCCUUCUGAAGUGAGGUGGCAGGGCAGUGA
rnacentral:sRNA from 1 species